CUUGACAAUACAACAAUCACUUGAUUAUCGCGGGUGUUACGUUCCAAAACCACCCGCGAUAGGUGAAUAUCCGUAAAGUAGAAACAGUACUGCAUGCUGCAGAAUAUAUUAGAAAUGAAGACACAUUCGACCCUGUACCUUUUCGUAAUCCUAGCUGUCUUAGUUUGAGGAAAGGUCAACAGUGAAGAAUUUAAUGACGGCAAUACGGCUGGUUCAAAUGCUGAGAAGAGGAACAUGAUGAACGCAGCUAUUGAUGUUCCAGCUGCCGAUAGAGUUGGACGCGAAAACUCUGGAGUAAACAUGAUUGAAGACAAAGAAAAACGAGCAGACAAAAUCCCUAACAGU